rnacentral:tRNA from 1 species
UGCCCCUUCGUCUAGUGGUAGGACAGCGGACUUUGAAUCCGUGAAGCGAGGUUCGAAUCCUCGAGGGGCAGCCA